rnacentral:rRNA from 1 species
UACGAAGGGGGCUAGCGUUGCUCGGAAUCACUGGGCGUAAAGGGUGCGUAGGCGGGUCUUUAAGUCAGGGGUGAAAUCCUGGAGCUCAACUCCAGAACUGCCUUUGAUACUGAAGAUCUUGAGUGCGGGAGAGGUGAGUGGAACUGCGAGUGUAGAGGUGAAAUUCGUAGAUAUUCGCAAGAACACCAGUGGCGAAGGCGGCUCACUGGCCCGAUACUGACGCUGAGGCACGAAAGCGUGGGGAGCAACAGG